rnacentral:rRNA from 1 species
AGUGUUCAAUAGAACUGUGGUAGGUGAGUAAUGUCCCCUACUAGAAAGGAGAGGGCAAGGCUGGUGCCAGCCGCCGCGGUAAAACCAGCUCUUCAAGUGGUCGGGAUAAUUAUUGGGCUUAAAGUGUCCGUAGCCGGUUUAGUAAGUUCCUGGUAAAAUCGGGUAGCUUAACUAUCUGCAUGCUAGGAAUACUGCUAUACUAGAGGGCGGGAGAGGUCUGAGGUACUACAGGGGUAGGGGUGAAAUCUUAUAAUCCUUGUAGGACCACCAGUGGCGAAGGCGUCAGACUGGAACGCGCCUGACGGUGAGGGACGAAAGCCAGGGGAGCGAACCGGAUUAGAUACCCGGGUAGUCCUGGCCGUAAACGAUGCAUACUAGGUGAUGGUACGGCCAUGAGCCGUAUCAGUGCCGUAGGGAAACCGUUAAGU